rnacentral:lncRNA from 10 species
CCUGAGUAGCUGGGUUUACAGGCACAUGCCAGCGCACCUGGCUAAUUUAGUAUUUUUAGUAGAGACGGGGUUUCUCCAUGUUGGUCAGGCUGGUCUCAAUUUCCGGACCUCAGGUGAUUUACCCGCCUCUGCCUCCCAAAGUGCUGGAAUUACAGGCAUAAGCCACCACGCCCAGCCCUAGAUUUCUUUAUAGAGCAUCUGUCUAUAAGCAGAUUACUUAGUUUUCCUGAUGUCUUCGUUGGAAUGUAAGCUUUGUGAAAGCCAGGGGCCCUAUGUGUCAUCUUUACCACUAUGUCUUAGAUCUUAGAGCAGCCCAUCAUAAGUUCUAAUAAGUAAUUGUGGAAUUGGAUGAGAAAAUGAAUAUGAGUCAGUUUUACAAUGCUGCAUGCUUCCCAGAUUAUUUUAACAGUCUAGGGGAUGUGGAAAGAUUUUGUUUUAAAAACGUUUAAAAGUCCACGUUUUGUUUGAUAUUGUUCAGAGGAAGUGAAAAUGUGGUCUUUAAAAAAUUUUGUUGCCCGGGCGUGAGCCACCGCGCCCGGCCUGUAUAUAUUGAUUUAAACACUUCAGUUCCUGUAUGAUUCUCUUAGCCAGGGCCAUGAUGGGAUUCCCUGGGGAUAGGUUAAGUUGUGGUGUCUAAAACCUAAGUCCUGUGACUUUAAGAAGUAUCUGCCAAGAUUUGCCAAGAUUUCCUAGAUGCUAGUUUUCCAAAGUUCUUAACUGAAAUAUUUACCUUUUGAAUUGUCAGUGAUGUAGAUACAAACACUAGAUUCUUCAUAAUUUUAUUCACACGAUAUACUGGGCUGAAAAAGAUAAUUUCUUGAUUAAAAAAACACCUAUUAAAUGAUCACCCAGUAGUGAACAUUUAUUUAUUUAUUUUAUUGUUUAUUUUUGAGACUGAGUCUCACUGUUGCCCUGGCUGGAGUGCAGUGGUGUGAUCUUAGCUCACUGCAACCUCCGCCUCCCAAGUUCAAGAGAUUCUCCUGCCUCAGCCUCCUGAGUAGCUGAGAUGACGGGCGUGUGCCAACACACCUGGCUAAUUUUGGUAUUUUUAGUAGAGAUGGGGUUUCACCAUGUUGGCCAGGCUUGUCUUGAGCUCCUGAUCUCAUCUCAAGCCACCCUUCUUGGCCUCCGAAAGUGCUGGGAUUACAGGCAUGAGGCACCGCGCCGGGCCGAACAUUUAAUUUUUGAUUGUAGAACUUGAAUAUCUCUUGCAGUGACACUUUGGUUAUCACUUGAUCAGAAAAAUACUCGUCCCAGCUCAAACAUUACCUUAGAAUAGAAAGUGAGAAUUAUUUCAUGACGGGCA